UGCGCGCGGCGAAGGGCGGCUAGCCCGCCGGCGCGCGGUGGUGACCUCCGGGGGAGGAACAGAGGUACCGCACGGUCCGGUUUCGACGGCAACCCCGGCGUCUCACGCCCGGUCCCUCUCACGCUUCGCCCCCCAAGGUUCUUUGGUUGGCUUACAAAAGGGAGAUUAGAAGACUUGCUUUCUCAAUCUUCCCACAUCUAAAGAUGCUGAAAAAUAUGACAUUGACCUCAAUAUCAGAGGAUUCUCUGACUCAGAUUUUCUUCAUAAACAUCAAAUCGGCUGAUAACGGCUCCCAAGGGUAUGUCCACAUCCUAAGCCUUGAAACCGGUGAAUGGUGAAACUUGUGCUGGUGGGACUGGGUUAAGGAUCUUGAGAUAAAGAGAUUAUCCUGGAUUAUCCCAGUGAAGCCUACAUGCCAUCAUAAAUGUCCUUAUAAAAAAGAAGCAUGAGGAGAUUAGCCAGCACACAAAAGAGCAGUUGAUGCAGAGAUAGGGGAAGAGACUGGCUUCAUUCCUUCCAAAUGAACGUGAGGAGCCACCAGAUUCUGGAAGGGGCAAGGAGAGAAGUUCCCUCUGGAGCAUCUGGAGGGAGCACUUCCCUGCCACACCUUGAUUGUGGCCCAGUGAAACUGAUGUAGGACUUCUGGCCCCAGAACUGCAAAAGAACAUAUUUCUGUUGUUUUGAGCAGCCAAGUUUGUGGUAAUUUGUUACAGCAGCCCCAGGAAACUAAUACAAACCCCAAAGCAACAAGAACCAGGCAUGAGAAUCCAGCUGUUUUAUGUUAAGCCUGACAGUAAAGAGAUUUGCAAAAUUGUGAAACAGUGCCAUUCCUCUCCCUAAUUCUUUUUGUUCUGAAUAUAUAGCUGUUUUUCGUCUUUUUAAAGUUAUUAACAUAUAAUGGGUCUAUUUUUUGCUAUUUUAAAAUUAAUUAAUAGUUCAAAAUUUUCUGUUUUAUUUUUUAAUUUAGUAAAUAUAUUUAGAUAUAACCCAUAUAAACAAAAGCUUUUGGAGUUCCCUGAUAACUUUCAAACAUGCAGAGGGGGUCCUAAGACCAAAAAGUUUGAAAACUAUCUAGUACAUGGUAGGUACUCAAUUAUUUAUUGAAGUAAUUAUAUGUAUUAGUCAGUCAUGUCAUUGAUACAUGAAUACAGGCCAAUGAACAGAAAAGGAGUUUAGGGGUAAAAUGAAUGGUUGCAAGAGAAGAAGACAGAAGAGUUCUUAGAAAAGAGAGAAAUUUGGGAAAAAGACAAAAUUAUCUCCAACUGACCUGAUUAUGAAGGAGAAGUUGCUGGAACAACUUCCAGAGCUUUCUACCCAGUGUGUGAUCUGGGCACAAAGAUUGUUGAAGCCCCACCAAUUUCUACCAUUCCUCCUCUAGGUUCCAUCUUGCAAAGCUAGAAGUUGAUAAUAGAGGUAAGAAACAAAUGUCAAAAGCCAGAAGUGAAAUGCCUGGUAGGAAAAGCUACAGAAUUAUAUAACAAGACUUGCUAAGAUUUAGAAUUAUAGGAUGUGGAAAUUGGAAGAAAUUUGGGUGUCAUCCAUGUAUCCAAUCACCUAAUAUUACAGAAAAGGAUACUGAUAUAAUAGGCUGUGGAAACCACUUGACCAAGGUCACACAACCUUAGGGGCAGAACUGAAAUUGCAGUCCUAAAUCUAGACUUUGAGCUUGGAGCAUUUUCCCCUUAUUUUUAUGGAUUGACAAUGAAGAGGUUGCCUGUGGCUUCCUGUUCAUAGACUCUGGCUCCAAGUCCUGCCAUGAAAUGAAAGGGAUAUGGAUGUUCUCUUUGAAGCUUGUAAUUUUAGACUGUCCAUUUUCUCUCUAAAUAUGGGCUCUUCGUUCUCCUUUUCCCAUCUCCACCUUUAUCCCAGGUAAUUUCAUUCAGAAUGACGGGAUUGAACCUAUUAAAUUAAACCCUCUAGAAGUAGAUUUCCUCUCUUCUUCCAGUCAGGGAGGAAGGUGGCUCUCAUUGAGGUGAAAAUAGGGCAGAGAAAUGUCUCAGUACAUUUUAAGAAGGUACGGUGGUCCUAAGACUGCAGUGGGUCAAACUAAUUUAUUCCUCACAUGAAUAUCAGCAGCCCCACCACUUUCCAAGCAGGACUGUGUCACUUGGAAAUAUAUACAGAUGUGUGAAAAGGUAAUGUUUUUCUUCUGCAUUUCCUCAGCUUCCUUUUUCAAAACUUUUGUUUUGAAUAGAUGUUAAAUUCUCUUCAUUCAAAACUCAAAAUGUAUAAAAGGUACUGAGAAAAAUCUUCCUCUCUUCCUGUCUCCCAGCUGCCCACUUCCCUUCCCUAGAAACAACUGCUACAAUCUAUUUCUUCAGGAAUAUAUUAUACAUACAUGUUAGCUUUCACUCCAAAAGUCUUAGAUUCUACCGCGUGACCACAGAGAAUUCAGCCCACUUCUUCUCAAGAUGUAUCUCUAGGGAAUCAUUCUUUCAUAGAACAUUUUCCCAAAAAAUCUGUGCCUUCACUUGAUGGGACCAUUAAAGACAAACAACAGUUGUUCAUGCUCACUUACUGCAAGGUUGUCAUGCUGUCCAGGGAAUGUGUCUGGCAACCACGUGAAAGGGGAGUUCCAAGGACAUACAAAUAUCCAUGGCUCCAGAUCUCACCUGUGUCCUCAGCCAGACUCUCCCCUAGGCUCCAGGGGAGUCUAGUCUAUGCUAUUCCUAUUCCUAAGUCCCUCAACUUCUAAACUCCAGUUAGCUUUCUUCAUCCCUUUGCUCUUGAGUUUAGCAUUUGGUCAUGUUUUACCUGCGAAGCUCUUGUCAGCUCUCACCGAUAAUUCUGAUUUCCUACUCCAGCUAAUUUGCUUCCAUUUACCCCUAAUAACAUGGUUAAUACAUCUCCAAUUGCUCUGUUUCCCUUGCCACCGUCUCUGUCCUGGAUUAUUGUGAAAAUCUAAUUAUCACCCACUAUCACCAAUUUCUUCUCUUUUCAGCCAACCCUUCAGAGAGAGCUUUCUAUCUCAGAAAUCUGAUCAUGUUAUUCUCAGUUCAAAAUAGUCAAGUGGAUAAAUGCGAACUCCUUACCAGGGGACAUAGGCCUUAGUAGCUUUCCCAUUGCCUGCCUCUCUGGCAUUCUACCCUACUAAGCUUAGGUUAGCAUUUUUUUGUUUUAGCAAUAUCAAGCUGCCAACGGUUCUCUAAUUAUGCCACGCUUUUAACUUUCAUGUUUUUGCACAUGCUGACUGCCUGGUAUAUUCUUCCACUCUUAACUAGAAAAUUUCUAUUUAUCCUUUAAAACAGAACUCAAGCAGUCACUUCCCCUAUGAAGCCUUCCCUGCCCCAUGUUUGUACCUUAUACAACCCCUACUAAAAUUGAAUUGAAAUGAUCUAUUUAUAUGUCUCUCUCCCCAGUUAGAACCAAACCCUCAGGGAUAGGAGCAUGUUUUUCUUAUUCUCAAUUCUAGUGCAGAAUCUAUAUUUAUUGUCAUGGGAAAAUAUUCAUGAUACGUUGAUGUAAGUGAAGAAAACAGGUUAUAAAACAUAUGUAUGUAUGGAGGUGCCUGGAUAGCUCAGUUGGUUAAAUGUCUGACUCUUGAUUUCAACUCAGGUCAUGAUCUCAGAGUCGUGAGAUUGAGCCCUGUGUGGAGCCUGCUUGGGAUUCUCUCUCUCCCUCGCCCUCUGUGCCUCCCCCGAUUUCUCUCUUAAAAAAGGGGGGGGUGCGCCUGGGUGGCUCAGUCGUUAAGCAUCUGCCUUUGGCUCAGGUCAUGAUCCUAGGGUCCUGGGAUCGAGCCCUGCAUCGGGCUCCUGGCUCAGCAGAAAGCCUGCUUCUCCCUCUCCCACUCCCCCUGCUUGUGUUCCCUCUCUCUCUCUGUCUCUA